rnacentral:rRNA from 1 species
UACGUAGGUGGCAAGCGAUACUCGGAAUCACUAGGCGUAAAGCGCAGGUAGGCGGUUUGGUAAGUCUUUUGUGAAAGCUCCCGGCUUAACUGGGAGAGGUCAAGGGAAACUACCGGACUAGAGUGUGGUAGGGGAUACUGGAAUUCCCGGUGUAGCGGUGAAAUGCGCAGAUAUCGGGAAGAACACCUAUGGCGAAGGCAGCUCUCUGGGACGGUACUGACGCUGAGACGCGAAAGCGUGGGGAGCGAACAGG